CAUGUUCCUCUCUACUCAGCCUCCUAAGUAUUGGGAUUAUAGGCCUGAGACACCAUGCUUGUUCUACCUAGCUUGUAUAAAUCAAAUGUUUUGUUUCCAGACAGUUGUAGAUUAGCAUAUGAUUGAAGAAAUUAUACAGAUAAAUCCCUUGUAUUCUUUCUUUCUUUUCUUCUAGUGGGGAAAAUCUUAAACUAUGUAAUUUGACAUCAGUACAAUCAAGUUACAGAAAAUGCCUCAUAGUUACGUAGGAAUCCCUCAUUAUAGCCACAUCCACUUUCCUCUUGCUGUGUCCCAUCAGAAGCCCUGACAACCAUCACUGUGUUUAUUUCUAUAAUUUUGUCAGCUCAAGAAUUUUGUGAAUGGGAUCAUAUAGGUUUCAGGAUUUUUCAGCUAGUUUAAUACUCUGGAGAUUUGUUGAAAUGAUUCCUUUUGAUGGUUGUGUAAUGUGGUAUAGUUGCACUUUAGCUCAACCAUUUCACUGUUGAAGGUCAUCUGGGAUCUUUCCAUCUUCUGGAGGCCACUAAUAAAGCUGCUACCAGCAUUUGUUUUUGUGUGAAUGUAAGUUUUCAUUUCUCUGGGAAAAGUGCCAGGAACUCAUUUCACAUGUUCGGUUUUUACGAUAAAUUGUCAAACUGUGUUCUACAGUGGCUAUGUGGUUUGCAUUCCCACCAGGACAGGGAAGUGGUUUCGUUUAUCCAAGUGCUCACCACUAGUUGAUGUCACUGGUUGUUUCACUUCUCUUUCUUCCCUUAGGCAUUCUGAGCCUUGUGUGGUGACAUCUCAUUGUGUUUUAAUUUGAAUUUCCCUAGUGGCUAAUGUUGUUGAAGUUUUUUCAGGUGUUUAUUUGUUAUUUAUAUAACCUCUUCAAUAAAUAUCUGCUUGUGUCUUUUACUUAUUUUCAGAGUGGGUUGCUGUAUUUAACUAUUGAGUUUGAGAGUUCUUUUUGUAUUUUAAGUAUUUGUUUUGUCAUGUAUGUGGUUUGCAAAUACUUUCUCCUAGCCUGUAGUUUGUCAUUUCAUUUUUGGUGAGUAAAAGUUUUUAAUUUUGAUAAAGCCCAGUUUGUCAGUUUUUUCUGUGGAGCCUGCUUCUUAACUCUUCGCCUAACCCAAGUUGUAAAAAUUUCCUGUGUGUGUAUGUAUAUAACUUAUAAAUAUAAUAUGUUAUACAUAAUGUUAUAUAUAUAUAGAAACUAGAAGUUUUAUAUUUAUAUUUACAUUCCUGGUCCAGAUUUAGUUUUGUAUAAAUUCUGAUACAUGUUUUCCUGUGGGUGUAUCUAAUUACUCCAGCACCAGGUGCUGAAAGACUCCUUCCUCCCUUGCACUGGUGUGUGCACCUUUGUCAAAACUCACUUGGGCAUAUUUGUUUGGUUCUAUUUCUGAAUUCUCUAUUCGGUUUCAUUGAUUUAUGUGUCUGUCCUCCUGCCAGUUCCUCACAGUGUUGAUUACUGUAGCUGUGUAAUAAGUGAUUCCUCCCACUGGAUCUUUUUCAAGAUUGUUUUUGCUGUUCUAGUUCCUUUGCUUUUUUCCAUAUAAAUCCUAAUAUUUUCUGUGCCUGCGAAAAUCUUUCUGUGUUUUUGAUCGACAGUGCUAGAUCUGUAUGUGUCAGUUUGGGGAAAGUUGAUUGUACUACAAAUGUCAGUUUGUGCAUUUAGGUCUGCUUUUAUUUCUUUCAUCAUCAUAUUACGUUUUUUUUUUUUAAACAUCUUUCUGUGCAUGUUUUCUUAAAUAUAACUAUCAUACACAUUUAGCAAUUGUAAAAGUUGCUGUAUUUAAAAUUCCAUUGUCCAUAUGUUCAUUGCUAGUAUAUAGAAAUAUUGUCUUGUUACCCC